CCCCUUCCAGGGUCAUACCUGGAGAGUUUCCAGGACUCUACCAGUCUUGGCUACGGGAGGGAGAGUCAAGUAGAGGCCUGUCCAUUCCAUUCCUAGCUUGGCCAGUGGCUAGCGAGCGGAAGGCAAUCCUCUACGAGU